rnacentral:rRNA from 1 species
CCUACGGGAGGCUGCAGUGGGGAAUAUUGGACAAUGGGGGGAACCCUGAUCCAGCCAUGCCGCGUGUGUGAAGAAGGCCCUCGGGUUGUAAAGUACUUUCAGUGAGGAAGAACGCCUGGUGGUUAAUACCCAUCAGGAAAGACAUCACUCACAGAAGAAGCACCGGCUAACUCCGUGCCAGCAGCCGCGGUAAUACGGAGGGUGCGAGCGUUAAUCGGAAUUACUGGGCGUAAAGCGCGCGUAGGUGGCUUGAUAAGCCGGUUGUGAAAGCCCCGGGCUCAACCUGGGAACGGCAUCCGGAACUGUCAAGCUAGAGUGCAGGAGAGGAAGGUAGAAUUCCCGGUGUAGCGGUGAAAUGCGUAGAGAUCGGGAGGAAUACCAGUGGCGAAGGCGGCCUUCUGGACUGACACUGACACUGAGGUGCGAAAGCGUGGGUAGCAAACAGGAUUAGAUACCCCUGUAGUC